GACGAACGCUGGCGGCGUGCUUAACACAUGCAAGUCGAACGGAAAGGCCUCUUUCGGGGGGUACUCGAGUGGCGAACGGGUGAGUAACACGUGAGUAACCUGCCCUUGACUUUGGGAUAACUUCAGGAAACUGGGGCUAAUACCGGAUAGGAGCUCCUGCUGCAUGGUGGGGGUUGGAAAGUUUCGGCGGUUGGGGAUGGACUCGCGGCUUAUCAGCUUGUUGGUGGGGUAGUGGCUUACCAAGGCUUUGACGGGUAGCCGGCCUGAGAGGGUGAACGGCCACAUUGGGGAUGAGAUACGGCCCAGACUCCUACGGGGGGCAGCAGGGGGGAAUAUUGCACAAUGGGUGGAAGCCUGAUGCAGCAACGCCGGGUGCGGGAUGACGGCCUUCGGGUUGGAAACCGCUUUCGCCCAUGACGAAGCUUUGUGUGACGGUAGUGGGUAAAGAAGCACCGGCUAACUACGUG
rnacentral:rRNA from 1 species